AGAGUUUCUUUUGGCUCAGGAUGAACGCUGGCGGCGUGCUUAACACAUGCAAGUCGAACGGGAAAUAUUUCAUUGAGACUUCGGUGGAUUUGAUCUAUUUCUAGUGGCGGACGGGUGAGUAACGCGUGGGUAACCUGCCUUAUACAGGGGGAUAACAGUCAGAAAUGGCUGCUAAUACCGCAUAAGCGCACAGAGCUGCAUGGCUCAGUGUGAAAAACUCCGGUGGUAUAAGAUGGACCCGCGUUGGAUUAGCUGGUUGGUGGGGUAACGGCCCACCAAGGCGACGAUCCAUAGCCGGCCUGAGAGGGUGAACGGCCACAUUGGGACUGAGACACGGCCCAGACUCCUACGGGAGGCAGCAGUGGGGAAUAUUGCACAAUGGGGGAAACCCUGAUGCAGCGACGCCGCGUGAAGGAAGAAGUAUCUCGGUAUGUAAACUUCUAUCAGCAGGGAAGAUAGUGACGGUACCUGACUAAGAAGCCCCGGCUAACUACGUGCCAGCAGCCGCGGUAAUACGUAGGGGGCAAGCGUUAUCCGGAUUUACUGGGUGUAAAGGGAGCGUAGACGGUGUGGCAAGUCUGAUGUGAAAGGCAUGGGCUCAACCUGUGGACUGCAUUGGAAACUGUCAUACUUGAGUGCCGGAGGGGUAAGCGGAAUUCCUAGCGUAGCGGUGAAAUGCGUAGAUAUUAGGAGGAACACCAGUGGCGAAGGCGGCUUACUGGACGGUAACUGACGUUGAGGCUCGAAAGCGUGGGGAGCAAACCAGGAUUAGAUACCCUGGUAGUCCACGCCGUAAACG
rnacentral:rRNA from 1 species